rnacentral:rRNA from 1 species
UACAGAGGGUGCGAGCGUUGUUCGGAAUUAUUGGGCGUAAAGGGCGCGUAGGCGGUGCGGUAAGUCACCUGUGAAAUCUCCUGGCUCAACUGGGAGCUUGCAGGCGAAACUGCCGUGCUGGAGUGUGGGAGAGGUGCGUGGAAUUCCUGGUGUAGCGGUGAAAUGCGUAGAUAUCAGGAGGAACACCUGUGGCGAAGGCGGGUCUCUGGGCCGUAACUGACGCUGAGGAGCGAAAGCGUGGGGAGCGAACAGGAU